rnacentral:rRNA from 1 species
AGAACCAACAGGGAUUACCUUAGUAACGGCGAGUGAAGCGGUAAAAGCUCAAAUUUGAAAUCUAGCACUUUCAGUGUUCGAGUUGUAAUUUGAAGAAGGUAUCUUUGGAGUUGGCCCCCGUCUAUGUUCCUUGGAACAGGACGUCACAGAGGGUGAGAAUCCCGUGCGAUGGGGAGACCAAUUCUAUGUAAAGUUCCUUCGAAGAGUCGAGUUGUUUGGGAAUGCAGCUCUAAGUGGGUGGUAAAUUCCAUCUAAAGCUAAAUAUUGGCGAGAGACCGAUAGCGAACAAGUACAGUGAUGGAAAGAUGAAAAGAACUUUGAAAAGAGAGUGAAAAAGUACGUGAAAUUGUUGAAAGGGAAGGGCUUUUGAUCAGACUUGGUGUUUAGUACUCUCUACUCCUUGUGGGUGGGGCUCUUGCUUUAUACUGGGCCAGCAUCGGUUUGGAUGGUAGGAUAAUAGCAUUGGAAUGUGGCUUCAUUCGUGAAGUGUUAUAGCCUUUGUUGAUACUACCUAUCUAGACCGAGGACUGCGUCUUUGA